rnacentral:rRNA from 1 species
GUGGGGAAUAUUCCGCAAUGGACGAAAGUCUGACGGAGCAACGCCGCGUGAGUGAUGAAGGUUUUCGGACUGUAAAGCUCUGUUGUUUGGGACGAAAGUGCCUGUUGCGAACAGUUACGGGUAUUGACGGUACUAAACGAGGAAGCCACGGCUAACUACGUGCCAGCAGCCGCGGUAAUACGUAGGUGGCAAGCGUUGUCCGGAAUUAUUGGGCGUAAAGAGCAUGUAGGCGGGAAUCUAAGUCUGUUGUUAAAAUGCGGGGCUCAACCCCGUAUUGCGAUGGAAACUGGGUUUCUUGAGUGCAGGAGAGGAAAGGCGAAUUCCCAGUGUAGCGGUGAAAUGCGUAGAUAUUGGGAGGAACACCAGUGGCGAAGGCGCCUUUCUGGACUGUGUCUGACGCUGAGAUGCGAAAGCCAGGGUAGCGAACGGGAUUAGAUACCCUGGUAGUCC